CAGAAGCUAGAUGACUGACACAUGGUACGAAUUCCAAGCAUCACCGUGGACAGAAUACAAGGACUUAGACGGUGUUCUAUAUGUGGAUUGAGGCUUCUUCAAGUCUAUUUUCCACUCCAUCAAACGGUUCAUUAUUUGGAUUUCCCAAUAAAGAGUUAUGCUCAUUUUAGUAACUGCUGCCAGAAGCUGAAAGACGCGCGAACCAG
rnacentral:lncRNA from 1 species